GGAUUCAGUUCGCUUUCUCCUAGGCGCGUGUCCUGAAGGUCGAUGGCCAGGUGGUCUUCAUAAACUAUACUGCCUUGUGAUGCCUCCCUAGAAAUGAGAGGUCUCAAUACCAGCUCAGACCAUGUGGACCGCGGAUGAGAUUGCUCAGCUGUGCUAUGAACACUAUGGGAUCAGGCUGCCCAAGAAGGGGAAGCCUGAGCCAAACCAUGAGUGGACGUUAUUGGCAGCCGUGGUGAAGAUACAAUCUCCAGCUGACAAGGCCUGCGACACCCCUGAUAAGCCGGUGCAAGUGACAAAGGAAGUUGUAUCAAUGGGAACAGGAACAAAAUGCAUAGGCCAGUCCAAAAUGAGGAAAAGCGAGAUGGGGUUUCACCAUGCUGGCCAAGCUGGUCUUGAACUCCUGACCUCAGGUGAUCUGCCCACAUUGGCCUCCCAAAGUGCUGGGAUUAAAGGUGUGAGCCACCGCACCUGGAGACAUCCUCAAUGAUAGCCAUGCUGAGGUCAUAGCCAGAAGGAGUUUCCAAAGGUACCUUCUCCACCAACUCCAGUUGGCAGCCACCCUGAAAGAGGAUAG
rnacentral:sRNA from 1 species